rnacentral:rRNA from 1 species
GACGAACGCUGGCGGCGUGCCUAAUACAUGCAAGUCGAGCGGAAGUUGGAGAGCUUGCUCUUCAACUUUAGCGGCGGACGGGUGAGUAACACGUGGGCAACCUGCCCUGCAGAUCGGGAUAACUCCGGGAAACCGGUGCUAAUACCGAAUAGUUUUCGCCACCUCCUGGUGGCGUACGGAAAGACGGUUUCGGCUGUCACUGCAGGAUGGGCCCGCGGCGCAUUAGCUAGUUGGUGGGGUAACGGCCCACCAAGGCGACGAUGCGUAGCCGACCUGGGAGGGGGGUCGGCCACGCUGGGACUGAGACACGGCCCAGACUCCUACGGGAGGCAGCAGUAGGGAAUCUUCCGCAAUGGACGAAAGUCUGACGGAGCAACGCCGCGUGAGUGACGAAGGUUUUCGGAUCGUAAAACUCUGUUGUGAGGGAAGAACAAGUACCAACUAACUACUGGUACCUUGACGGUACCUCACCAGAAAGCCACGGCUAACUACGUGCCAGCAGCCGCCGUAACAC